rnacentral:rRNA from 1 species
UACAGAGGGGCGAGCGUUGUUCGGAAUUACUGGGCGUAAAGGGCGCGUAGGCGGCCCGCUAAGUCGAACGUGAAAUCCCCAGGCUCAACCUGGGAACUGCGUCCGAUACGUGGCAGGCUUGAAUCCGGGAGAGGGAUGUGGAAUUCCAGGUGUAGCGGUGAAAUGCGUAGAUAUCUGGAGGAACACCGGUGGCGAAGGCGGCAUCCUGGACCGGUA